UAAAAUUUCUUGUAUUUUAUUCUCUUGAAGUUUAUAUUUACAUCAAAUUCUCUAAUUUCACAGGAUUCUGAACAUUCUGCUACAGUUAAAGAUAAACAAGGUUUACCAGAAUUAACACUGAUAAAAAAAACACAAUGUGUACCAGAAUAAACAGUGAUGAAAAAUAAUACACCAGGUGUACCAGAAUAAACAGUGAUGAAAAAUAAUACACCAGGUGUACCAGAAUAAAAAGGGAGAAAAAAUAAUACACCAGGUGUACCAGAAUAAACAGUGAUGAAAAAUAAUACACCAGGUGUACCAGAAUAAACAGUAAUGAAAAAUAAUACACCGGGUGUACCAGAAUAAACAGUGAUGACAAAAUAAUACACCAGUUGUACCAGAAUAAACAGUGAUG